GACGAACGCUGGCGGCGUGCUUAGCACAUGCAAGUCGAACGGUGAAGCGCCUUCCUUUUUGGUGGGUGUGGAUGAGUGGCGAACGGGUGAGUAACACGUGAGUAACCUGCCCCCUUCUUCUGGAUAACCGCAUGAAAGUGUGGCUAAUACGGGAUAUUCUGGGUCUGUCGCAUGAUGGGUCUGGGAAAGAUAUUGUUUCGGUGGGGGAUGGGCUCGCGGCCUAUCAGCUUGUUGGUGGGGUGAUGGCCUACCAAGGCGGUGACGGGUAGCCGGCCUGGGAGGGUGGACGGUCACACUGGGACUGAGACACGGCCAAGACUCCUACGGGAGGCAGCAGUGAGGAAUAUUGCACAAUGGGGGGAAGCCUGAUGCAGCGACGCCGCGUGAGGGAUGGAGGCCUUCGGGUUGUGAACCUCUUUCGCCAGUGAAGCAGGCCUGCCUCGUUUGUGGGUGGGUUGACGGUAGCUGGAUAAGAAGCGCCGGCUAACUACGUG
rnacentral:rRNA from 1 species